CUGCUCACUUUGACAGCACAUAUACUAAAAAUCAGAACAAUAAAGAGAAGAUUAGCAUGGCCCCUGUGCAAGGAUGACAGGCAAAUUUGUGAAGUGUUCCAUAAAAAU
ensembl:snRNA LOC120101181 U6 spliceosomal RNA